rnacentral:hammerhead_ribozyme from 1 species
UUUCGGCUGACGAGUCCCAAAUAGGACGAAACGCGCGUCCUGGAU